UCCAGUUCCCGUACGAUCACCGAAGUUAAGCAAAGUCUAGUCUGAUCAGUACUAGAUUGAUUACCGCUUGGGAAUACCAGGUGUUGUAA